rnacentral:rRNA from 1 species
CUUGAAUAUGCCCAAUCUCAUCUGAUAAUGGAAGUUAAGCAGG